rnacentral:rRNA from 1 species
AACGAACGUUAGCGGCGCGCCUAACACAUGCAAGUCGCACGAGAAAGGGCUUCGGCCCCGGUAAAGUGGCGCACGGGUGAGUAACACGUGGGUAACCUGCCCUCGAGCGGGGGAUAACAUUCCGAAAGGAGUGCUAAUACCGCAUAAGACCACGACCCCGAAAGGGGACGAGGUAAAAGCUGGCCUCUAUACAUAAGCUAGCACUUGAGGAUGGGCCCGCGGCGCAUCAGGUAGUUGGUGAGGUAACGGCUCACCAAGCCUAAGACGCGUAGCUGGUCUGAGAGGAUGAUCAGCCACACUGGAACUGAGACACGGUCCAGACUCCUACGGGAGGCAGCAGUGGGGAAUCUUGCGCAAUGGGCGAAAGCCUGACGCAGCGACGCCGCGUGAGUGAUGAAGGCCUUCGGGUUGUAAAGCUCUGUGGGGCGAGGAGAAUUAGUGCAGCCUAAUACGUUGCAUGAUGACGGUAUCGCCUUAGCAAGCACCGGCUAACUCUGUGCCAGCAGCCGCAGUAACAC